rnacentral:rRNA from 1 species
ACGCGCUACCAUGCAGUCGAGCGGAUGAAGAGAGCUUGCUCUCUGAUUCAGCGGCGGACGGGUGAGUAAUGCCUAGGAAUCUGCCUGGUAGUGGGGGACAACGUUUCGAAAGGAACGCUAAUACCGCAUACGUCCUACGGGAGAAAGCAGGGGACCUUCGGGCCUUGCGCUAUCAGAUGAGCCUAGGUCGGAUUAGCUAGUUGGUGAGGUAAUGGCUCACCAAGGCGACGAUCCGUAACUGGUCUGAGAGGAUGAUCAGUCACACUGGAACUGAGACACGGUCCAGACUCCUACGGGAGGCAGCAGUGGGGAAUAUUGGACAAUGGGCGAAAGCCUGAUCCAGCCAUGCCGCGUGUGUGAAGAAGGUCUUCGGAUUGUAAAGCACUUUAAGUUGGGAGGAAGGGUUGUAGAUUAAUACUCUGCAAUUUUGACGUUACCGACAGAAUAAGCACCGGCUAACUCUGUGCCAGCAGCCGCGGUAAUACAGAGGGUGCAAGCGUUAAUCGGAAUUACUGGGCGUAAAGCGCGCGUAGGUGGUUUGUUAAGUUGGAUGUGAAAGCCCCGGGCUCAACCUGGGAACUGCAUUCAAAACUGACAAGCUAGAGUAUGGUAGAGGGUGGUGGAAUUUCCUGUGUAGCGGUGAAAUGCGUAGAUAUAGGAAGGAACACCAGUGGCGAAGGCGACCACCUGGACUGAUACUGACACUGAGGUGCGAAAGCGUGGGGAGCAAACAGGAUUAGAUACCCUGGUAGUCCACGCCGUACACGAUGUCAACUAGCCGUUGGGAGCCUUGAGCUCUUAGUGGCGCACCUAACGCAUUAAGUUGACCGCCUGGGGAGUACGGCCGCAAGGUUAAAACUCAAAUGAAUUGACGGGGGCCCGCACAAGCGGUGGAGCAUGUGGUUUAAUUCGAAGCAACGCGAAGAACCUUACCAGGCCUUGACAUCCAAUGAACUUUCCAGAGAUGGAUUGGUGCCUUCGGGAACAUUGAGACAGGUGCUGCAUGGCUGUCGUCACCUCGUGUCCUGAAAUGUUGGGUUAAGUCCCGUAACAAACGCAACCCUUGUCCUUAUUACCACCCGUAAUGGUGGGCACCCUAAGGAAAUGCCGGC